rfam:Pan troglodytes isolate Yerkes chimp pedigree #C0471 (Clint) chromosome 2A, whole genome shotgun sequence.
AGGCUGGCCAGGCCCAUCAGGGCUUGUGGAAUGGGAAGGAGAAGGGACGCUUCCCCUUCUGCAGGCCUGCUGGGUGUGGCUGGACCC